rnacentral:rRNA from 1 species
CCUACGGGCGGCAGCAAUUAGGAAUCUUGCGCAAUGGGGGCAACCCUGCCGCAGCGACACAGUGUGGAGGAGGAAGGUCUUCGGAUUGUAAACUCCUUUUAUGAGGGAAGAAUAGAUGACGGUACCUCAUGAAUAAGCACCUGCUAACUACGUGCCAGAAGCAUCGGUGAUGCGUAGGGUGCGAACGUUAUACGGAUUUAUUUGGCGUAUAGAGAAGCGUAGGUGUUUUUGUAAGUCUUUAGUUAAAUACCACGGCUCAACCGGGGAGAAGCUUUGGAAACUACAAAAAUUGAGACAGGAAUGGGCGAAUGGAAUUCCCAGUGGAGCGGUGAAAGGCGUUGAUAUUGGGAGGAACAUCAGUGGCGAAGGCGAUUCGCUGGUCCUUGUCUGACACUAAGGCUCGAAAGCGUGGGGAGCGAAAC